AUCGUUCAUUUUGAGUAUCUCAAAACGGAAGUAAGCGAAAGUUGAAGGAACGCAUG
rnacentral:ncRNA from 10 species